rnacentral:rRNA from 1 species
UACAGAGGUCCCAAGCGUUGUUCGGAUUCACUGGGCGUAAAGGGUGCGUAGGCGGUGGGGUAAGUCUGAUGUGAAAGCUCGCAGCUCAACUGCGAAAUGGCAUUGGAAACUACCUCGCUAGAGGAGUGGAGGGGGGACUGGAAUACUUGGUGUAGCAGUGAAAUGCGUAGAUAUCAAGUGGAACACCAGUGGCGAAGGCGAGUCCCUGGACACCUCCUGACGCUGAGGCACGAAAGCUAGGGGAGCAAACAGG